UGAUGUGGUAAUGUCACCGUGAUAUGU
rnacentral:sRNA from 1 species